rnacentral:lncRNA from 1 species
GGCAGGUUCAUUACCUUACAGUGAUAGGGCCCUGUAGGGUUUCUCUUAAUGAUGCAUAAGGGGGAGCAGGAGCCACAGCAUACAUAUUUGUAGAGGCUCGGACUCUGCAAGGCAAAUGGGGGUAAGAACAGCCAAAUGGAUCUUUCUGUGCUAAGUCAGCAACAGUUAUGCAGUAACACAGUGAUUUUAUUUAUUUUUUGUUUGUUUUGAAUGAUAAGUCCAAGGAAAGGAUGAGUUAGCUGAUAGCUCAGAGAUAUCACAUAACUAAGACAAUGGUUUCCAACUUUCCUGAAUGUUAAAUGGAGGGAAAACAGCUGAACUUGCCUCUGCUAUGCCUUGCUCUGACAUGCUGAAAUGGCAUAUCUGUCUUGCUUAGGAGUGAAGCUCAUUAAAGUUGUUCUUGCAAAAGGCUUUACCCAGUGUAAUUUAAACAAGUGGGGCAGUAAGUAAGGCUAAAGCUUGCUCUCUUUUUAGGUUCAAUUUUUAACAGAAUUCAGUUUCUGUUUCUUUUAAGUAUGUGACAUCCCAACAGCUGCCAUUAAGGCUUCAGCUCUGUCUCCUGCACCCUACCUUUACUUUCUGUUUAGGCUUUUGACCCAGCUCAAGAUUCAACUCUUACUUUUUUUGUCAAAUGCUAUAUUUUCUUCUUGCUUUCUCUUGCUCUGGUGCCUCUGGACAGUAGUAUAAUUCUGACACCAAUAGUUGUUAUAAAUAAUAUAGUUCCUGCUCUGGGGAAAGAAAACUGGACUAAGGGAGGCAUUAAGCACCGAAAAUAACAGGAAUGCAGCAGAUCUGUCACGCAAGACUGCCAUCCCUAGCUGUUAAUGGGCACAGAAGUUCAACUUGAUAUGUGUCUACUCAGAGCACUGCCUGAUUCUAUCUUCACAUAGCAGUUAUUACCCUCGGGGACAAAUUAUGUCUUGCAUUGUGCACUCUCAUCCCUUCACCGAAGACUUGACAGUCCAUCCACCUAGGAAAAAACAUAUACUGCACUUAGUUUCACAGGUUGAAGACUGCAGGAAGCCAUAUUUAUUCAGAAAGUUUUUGCAGUUAUCAUCGAUCUAUACAUAUAACAUUGUUCCCUCUCAUGUGGCUGUGAGUGGCAUGCCUGGUGUUGUCUGGGGACCUCAGGAUGUAACUGUGGCUGAUAUAUCAUUAAGGGGACUAGUAUGCAGCAGGAACAGCAGCCUAGAGAUGAAACUGUUUCCUUUUGACACCUGCAUCACAUCUGAGCAAAGGAGGAGGCCCUGCAGUCCUAAGGCUGGACGGUAGCCUGCUUGGCAGGCUCAGUGAGUGGUUGUGCCUCUUGCUGAUCUCCCUGGGCACUGAAGCACCAACUGAAGCACUGCAUCGAAUCACCACUCAAAAUAAAUAUCCAGGGUGGCCCUCCUGUAUUGACUAU